GUCAGACAUGUCUAGUAUAGCACUAUACUGUGAAACUGCGAAUGGCUCAUUAAAUCAGUUAUCGUUUAUUUGAUAGUACCUUACUACUUGGAUAACCGUGGUAAUUCUAGAGCUAAUACAUGCUAAAAACCUCGACUUCGGAAGGGGUGUAUUUAUUAGAUAAAAAACCAAUGCCCUUCGGGGCUCCUUGGUGAUUCAUAAUAACUUAUCGAAUCGCAUGGCCUUGUGCCGGCGAUGGUUCAUUCAAAUUUCUGCCCUAUCAACUUUCGAUGGUAGGAUAGUGGCCUACCAUGGUUUCAACGGGUAACGGGGAAUUAGGGUUCUAUUCCGGAGAGGGAGCCUGAGACACGGCUACCACAUCCAAGGAAGGCAGCAGGCGCGCAAAUUACCCAAUCCCGACGCGGGGAGGUAGUGACAAUAAAUACUGAUACAGGACUCUUUUGGGUCUUGUAAUUGGAAUGAGUACAAUUUAAAUCCCUUAACGAGGAACAAUUGGAGGGCAAGUCUGGUGCCAGCAGCCGCGGUAAUUCCAGCUCCAAUAGCGUAUAUUAAAGUUGUUGCAGUUAAAAAGCUCGUAGUUGAACCUUGGGCCUGGCUGGCCGGUCCGCCUCACCGCGUGCACUGGUCCGGCCGGGCCUUUCCUUCUGGGGAGCCGCAUGCCCUUCACUGGGUGUGUCGGGGAACCAGGACUUUUACUUUGAAAAAAUUAGAGUGUUCAAAGCAGGCCUAUGCUCGAAUACAUUAGCAUGGAAUAAUAGAAUAGGACGUGUGGUUCUAUUUUGUUGGUUUCUAGGACCGCCGUAAUGAUUAAUAGGGAUAGUCGGGGGCAUCAGUAUUCAAUUGUCAGAGGUGAAAUUCUUGGAUUUAUUGAAGACUAACUACUGCGAAAGCAUUUGCCAAGGAUGUUUUCAUUAAUCAGUGAACGAAAGUUAGGGGAUCGAAGACGAUCAGAUACCGUCGUAGUCUUAACCAUAAACUAUGCCGACUAGGGAUCGGGCGAUGUAUUUUUUUGACUCGCUCGGCACCUUACGAGGAAAUCAAAGUCUUUGGGUUCUG
rnacentral:rRNA from 2 species